rnacentral:lncRNA from 1 species
CAUCAGAAUACAAACGACAAGAGGAUCAAAGUUUAAUAUGAUUCGUGCUUGGCCAUUAUUGUUGUCAAUCGUAUUCAUAAAAUGCGUUGUCUUUUCUAGGUUUUUCAGCAGGUUUACUCGAUACAUCGUGUUCGAUUUAUAAGUCAAACGGUUCAGUGCUCGAAGCGUGCGCGCUUAGGUCUCACUCUCUCCGUGAUAUAAUAGUAACAAUAAUAAACUUUAUUUAAUUUAAUGAAGGUAUUACAAAACCAGUUUGGCACAUCUAAUCUUUAAUAUAAUGGGCUUCAACACUGGGCCGUCUGUAAUUUCAGAGGACACUAGUUUGAGCAAAUGUUCAUUCAUAUAGGGGGAAAGUUUGAUAUGAAUUUGUAA